rnacentral:rRNA from 1 species
AGGACGAACGCUGGCGGCGUGCUUAACACAUGCAAGUCACGGGGGCCCGCAAGGGCAACCGGCGAACGGGUGCGUAACACAUGAGCAACCUGCCUUUGUGUGGGGGAUAGCCGGGCUAACGCCCGGGUAAUACCGCAUACGGUUCUCGAGGGGAGUCCCUUGGGAAAGAAACCUCCGGGGCACAGAGAGGGGCUCGCGGCCUAUCAGCUUGUUGGCGGGGUAAUGGCCCACCAAGGCGACGACGGGUAGCUGGUCUGAGAGGAUGAUCAGCCACACUGGGACUGAGACACGGCCCAGACUCCUACGGGAGGCAGCAGUGGGAAUUUGGACAAUGGGGGAAACCCUGAUCCAGCCAUGCCGCGUGCGGGAAGAAGGCCUUCGGGUUGUAAACCGCUUUUGUCCGGAAAGAAAAGGCACCACCUAAUACGGGUGUUCUUGACGGUACCGGAAGAAUAAGCACCGGCUAACUACGUGCCAGCAGCCGC